UACGUAGGGGGCAAGCGUUGUCCGGAAUUAUUGGGCGUAAAGCGCGCGUAGGCGGCUGCGCAAGUCGGUUGUGAAAUUCCGGGGCUCAACCCCGGAACUGCGUCCGAUACUGCGUGGCUAGAGGUAGGUAGGGGAGAUCGGAAUUCCUGGUGUAGCGGUGAAAUGCGUAGAUAUCGAGAGGAACACCUGCGGCGAAGGCGGGUUGCUGGGCUGACACUGACGCUGAACUGCGAAAGCUAGGGGAGCGAACGGG
rnacentral:rRNA from 1 species